UAAGACACUGGACAAUUUACUUCAUAAUCUUUAAGAUAAGAUUGCCUUUGGUUUUCAAUAUAUGGACUUUUGAAAAUAGAAUCUAUAGAUAAGAAAAUGUAAAAAAUGUCAGGCAGAGGACCUGAGGAUUGUUAAGGAAUCAUUAAAGCAUUAUUUACAAUUGAAUGUCCAGUGUUUGAAUAAGAUCAGUAGAAGUAGCUUUUUACAACUCCCGAUUGUCCCAGAUGAAGAGGAGAAGCCUGUCAUAAAUAGUGGUAAGUGUUCUUGCACACCUCAGCUGGCUUCCGGACCUGUCUGCUAACUACCCAGCUGCUAGACUUGCCAGGAGGGCAUUUCAAUGUGUUUGUUUAGUCGUGUGCUCUGGAAGUUCUAAGUCCUGGGCUCACAGUACACUUAGUCGUCAUGACACAGGAGGUACGAGGUUCUGGAGUCACUCUACAAAGGACAAUGAUGCCUUCACCUUCCAACAGCACAGAACACCCAGAAAACGCUCAGAACCCUGUUCACUCACAAGCUUAGGGUCAACAUGGAAGUGUGUCCUUGGGGUUUUGGCCACCCUGAAAGCCACAGAACAGAAGACCUCAACUUCCUUCUCAAACACAGUCCCACAGACCACACAUUCACAUUUCUGAGUUAUCUCUGUAUCUUUGGUGUUUUCCAAUUUUUAUUUAUGCUAUGUUCUGUGGGUAGCAAUCAUCUGUAAUCAAUUUUUAGAGUUAAAUGUUUACUCCUACUUUUUGCUGGGCUGCUAGUCUCAUAUGUAUUAUUAAUGAACCAAGUAACUUAGCAACUAUCACAGAUUAUGGGAUAUAGGCUUCAAACAGUGUUGAACUAGGCUUCUGGCUAAAUUUUCUAAAGCUGAUGUUUCUAGUGUUCAGAAGGAAAGUGUUGUAGUUAUGGUGCACUAUAAAUGAGCCCAGUAACAGAAAAAUCUAUAUGGUUAGAUAAUGCUCUUUCCACAAUAAUUACCUUCCCUCUCAGGUUCCCUAAUAUUCUUAAAUACAAUUCUUAUUUAAAAUGUUCACUGUUAACUUGUGUUAAUCAAAAUAUAGCAACCUUGCAUAUUCAUCUUAAAUAUUUGUUCUAUUUUUCUUAUAAACUUUGGUGAUCAGAAAGGAAAAUAGAAAUAGUUUCUGAGUUCUAGCCAAAGGCUAAAAUUGUGAUCAAAAUUGCUUUGUAUCUGUCUACUAUAGAACAAUGGCUAACCUUGAUUCAGAAAAAAAAAAGCAAAUAAAAAAUUGCAUCUUAAAAAAAUUUACAAAUUGCAUCUUAAAAUAACUGUGGGGCAUUCACCAGAAAAGACUGCUCAGACAUGGGUUUAAACCAAUAAAAAGACUUUAUUAGCAGGCUGCUGACUACCCUGGGUGUUCAGGAUACCAGUGUAUAUCUGAGCCUUUCUCAGGGUAAGCUUUUCAGCACAAAAACCAUAUUCUAGAUUGGCAUACUUCAGUUAACAAAAAUAAGUAGCCAGAAGAAGAACUACAUAAGCUAAGAAGAAAGCAAGGUAGAGACUUUCCCAGAACUAUAGACUUUGAUGGGCUACGUGUUUGUUUCCAGGUGAUACUGUGUACAUGCCGAGUUCUAUGGUCUGCGUGGCCUUAAUGGAGUCACCUGUGCUUAGGUCAGGGGCUAAGUUCUGGGCUAGUUUGUCCCUGUUAUUUAUAAAAUCCUAUUAAGUGUCUCAAAGUGAAAUAAAUUAUAGUUGUUUGAUUCCUAUUGCUUGUGAAUGAUAAUAUAAUAAAUAACCAUUUGGAGAUGAGAAAUUUGAGUUAAAAUUGUACUUUAUUUUAAAAGACUAUGGGUCUUUCUGGGUCCGAGUGACCUCAUUAGUUAAAUAGCUAUUAAACCACUACUCAAGUCCUAAAUUGUAUGACUCAUAAUUCAAUUGAAAAGAUAUAACCGUAACUUCAAAUUACAGUUAUCAUAGAUUUGGCAGCAGCAGAGAUUGAGGUAUAUACAUAGUUGACAUGUAUUCAAGUUUAUAGGUUUGUGAAUUUCUUCUGACAUAACAAGAUAUAUUAAGUUAAAACAUUGGUAUAAAACAAAAAAGUAUGCUAUGUUAACUAGAGACAUCUUUCUGUGUUAGUUUAUGUUGUGAUGAAAUUGGUAGGGCUAUUGUAGAACAGAAACUGUCCAAAAGGAUUGUGAAAAGUUCUUGUUGGUUAGAAAUGGCUCCAAAUCCAAGCAUGAUUCAAUCUAGACUUAUAAGCGUUUAUUGGCUACCUACUGCAGCCAGACCCUGUUGAAUUGCUAGGGACACCAACAUAAAUAACUUUGUUAUGCAUAUCAUAAAUGACUAUCAGAUCUAUUUUUUUUUAUUUGUGUGAGUGUGUAUAUGUAUGUGGGCAUGCAGAUGCUAUAAUCACACUUAUGGAGGGUAGAGACAAUCUCUGAUAGUGGGAUGUCUUCUUCCAUGAUGUGGAUCCAGAGGAUCAAAAUCAGGCUUGGCAGCAGGCAUUUUUUUAUCCAGUGAGCCAUCUGCCAUCCCCAGAUCUACUAUUAUAAAGAGGCCUAAAGCAUGUUCUUCUAGAAUAAUAGCGUAAUUUAUCCAUGAGUAAAUAUGAUUUAGCAAGAAAAAUAAUAAGCUAAAUGUGGGUUCCCUAAUAAGAGCAAAUGUAUCCCUCCUAGUUUGGCAUGCUAUUUUAAUAAAUUCUAAAUUCUCCAAGUAACUAUGGG
rnacentral:lncRNA from 1 species